rnacentral:lncRNA from 1 species
CCACCGUGCGUGCAGCUCGUGCCGCCCGCGCCGGGGCCCGGAGCAGAGGGAGAGCGGCUCCGAGAGCUGCUGGGAUGAAAGAGCAGAGAGCAGCUGGGGCAGAGCUCUGGCAGGAGCAUUCAGAGCGGUUUUGUACAUCGGUUGAUGGCUGUGACGCUGCUUUGCAGACUCUGUGAUGUAUUAGCCUGGCCUCCUCUCAGACAAGAAGAAAAAUGGGCAUGUUUGCCAAGCAGCUCUUGGCAGAGCCGCCAGACGCAGCCCUGCCAAGCUCCUCCUCGCGCUGCCAUGACGAGCGGAGGCAUCGCCGAGCGGGGACGGGGAGGGCGGACGGACAGACAGGACCAGCUGCCUGGGCCCACCCUUCGCUCCCUGCCCCGCUGUGAAGCUGCCCAUGGGACCACAGGGGGAGGGGGAAAAAAUCAAUCUCUGCAUUAUACGCUUCCUUUCCCAGUGCACUGGUUUCAAUCUAACAAAAAGGUUUCUAGUAAUGCUGUCCCCUAUUCAGCAUAGUAUAAACCAUAGCCUUACGUGUAAAUAAACAU